GAUGAACGCUGCGGCGUGCCUCAUCCCUGCAAGUCGCGCGAACGGACGAGAAGCUUGCUUCUCUGAUGUUAGCGGCGGACGGGUGAGUAACACGUGGAUAACCUACCUAUAAGACUGGGAUAACUUCGGGAAACCGGAGCUAAUACCGGAUAAUAUUUUGAACCGCAUGGUUCAAAAGUGAAAGACGGUCUUGCUGUCACUUAUAGAUGGAUCCGCGCUGCAUUAGCUAGUUGGUAAGGUAACGGCUUACCAAGGCAACGAUGCAUAGCCGACCUGAGAGGGUGAUCGGCCACACUGGAACUGAGACACGGUCCAGACUCCUACGGGAGGCAGCAGUAGGGAAUCUUCCGCAAUGGGCGAAAGCCUGACGGAGCAACGCCGCGUGAGUGAUGAAGGUCUUCGGAUCGUAAAACUCUGUUAUUAGGGAAGAACAUAUGUGUAAGUAACUGUGCACAUCUUGACGGUACCUAAUCAGAAAGCCACGGCUAACUACGUG
rnacentral:rRNA from 1 species